rnacentral:rRNA from 1 species
UGAGGAAUAUUGGUCAAUGGACGGAAGUCUGAACCAGCCAAGUAGCGUGCAGGAUGACGGCCCUAUGGGUUGUAAACUGCUUUUGUAUGGGGAUAAAGUUAGGGACGUGUCCCUAUUUGCAGGUACCAUACGAAUAAGGACCGGCUAAUUCCGUGCCAGCAGCCGCGGUAAUACGGAAGGUCCAGGCGUUAUCCGGAUUUAUUGGGUUUAAAGGGAGCGUAGGCUGGAGAUUAAGUGUGUUGUGAAAUGUAGACGCUCAACGUCUGAAUUGCAGCGCAUACUGGUUUCCUUGAGUACGCACAACGUUGGCGGAAUUCGUCGUGUAGCGGUGAAAUGCUUAGAUAUGACGAAGAACUCCGAUUGCGAAGGCAGCUGACGGGAGCGCAACUGACGCUUAAGCUCGAAGGUGCGGGUAUCAAACAGGAUUAGAUACCCUGGUAGUCCGCACAGUAAACGAUGGAUGCCCGCUGUUGGUACCUGGUAUCAGCGGCUAAGCGAAAGCAUUAAGCAUCCCACCUGGGGAGUACGCCGGCNACGGUG